rnacentral:misc_RNA from 1 species
CCGAGUGCGGGCCCUCGCGGCCCAACCUCCCACCCUUGUCUAUACACCUGUUGCUUUGGCGGGCCCACCGGGGCCACCCGGUCGCCGGGGGACAUCGUCCCCGGGCCCGCGCCCGCCGAAGCGCCCUGUGAACCCUGAUGAAGAUGGGCUGUCUGAGUACUAUGAAAAUUGUCA